CCUACGGGUGGCAGCAGUGAGGAAUAUUGGUCAAUGGCCGGAAGGCUGAACCAGCCAAGCCGCGUGAAGGACGAAGGUGCCAAGUAUCGUAAACUUCUUUUGUCAAGGGACAAAAUCAGGCUCGAGAGCCUGACCGAGGGUACUUGAAGAAAAAGCAUCGGCUAACUCCGUGCCAGCAGCCGCGGUAAUACGGGGGAUGCGAGCGUUAUCCGGAUUUAUUGGGUUUAAAGGGUGCGUAGGCGGGCUGUUAAGUCAGCGGUAAAAGCCCGGGGCUCAACCCCGGCGAGCCGUUGAAACUGGCUGUCUUGAGGUGGAGAGAGGUAUGCGGAAUGCGCAGUGUAGCGGUGAAAUGCAUAGAUAUUGCGCAGAACUCCGAUUGCGAAGGCAGCAUACCGGCUCCGAACUGACGCUGAGGCACGAAAGCGUGGGUAUCGAACAGGAUUAGAUACCCUUGUAGUC
rnacentral:rRNA from 1 species